rnacentral:rRNA from 1 species
AAUAUUGCACAAUGGAGGAAACUCUGAUGCAGCGACGCCGCGUGAACGAUGAAGGCCUUCGGGUCGUAAAGCUCUGUCCUAUGGGAAGAAACGGAUGGUGCCUUCGUAGGAAGCCCCGGCUAUCUACGUGCCAGCAGCCGCGGUAAUACGUAGGGGGCGAGCGUUAUCCGGAAUUAUUGGGCGUAAAGGGUGCGUAGGCGGCCUUUUAAGUCAGAUGUGAAAGGCUACGGCUUAACCGUAGUUAGCAUUUGAAACUAAAAGGCUUGAGUGCAGGAGAGGAGAGUGGAAUUCCUAGUGUAGCGGUGAAAUGCGUAGAUAUUAGGAGGAACACCAGUGGCGAAGGCGACUCUCUGGACUGCAACUGACGCUAAGGCACGAAAGCGUGGGGAGCGAACAG